UGAGGAUUAGCUCAGUUGGUAGAGUGCGAGACUGCUAAUCUUGGGGCCGUGAGUUCAUCCUAGAUUCUAAA
rnacentral:tRNA from 1 species